UGGUCCCACCAGUCUCCUAGUGUAUGUCCU
rnacentral:piRNA from 1 species